AUGCGGCUCUUUAUCCUGAUGAUUCUUUCUGUUUUUAAAGGGAAUGUUGAUGCAGAUGUGUUGACGCCCUUCUUCACAGAGAAACAUGUUUUGACAGAAGAAAACGUGACUCUGUCCUGCAACUACACUGGCUAUGUCAAUAAUUUCCAGUGGUACCGUCAGUAUCCCAGAUCCAAACCUGAGUUUCUCAUUCUUCACACUGAGCUCAGUGGUCAGUCAGAGUUUGGUCUGUAUGCCGCAGCUGAUAAAGAAGUCAAACGUAUGGAUCUGAGCAUCUUCUCCACACAAGUGACACAUUCAGUGUAUUACUGUGCCCUGAAACCCACACAAACACACUGUAGAAAAACCUGA